rnacentral:rRNA from 1 species
ACUCCUACGGGAGGCAGCAGUGGGGAAUAUUGCACAAUGGGGGAAACCCUGAUGCAGCCAUGCCGCGUGUGUGAAGAAGGCCAUCGGGGUUGUAAAGCACUUUCAGUAGGGAGGAAGGUAGUGUAGUUAACACCUGCAUUAUUUGACGUUACCUACAGAAGAAGCACCGGCUAACUCCGUGCCAGCAGCCGCGGUAAUACGGAGGGUGCGAGCGUUAAUCGGAAUUACUGGGCGUAAAGCGCAUGCAGGCGGCCUGUUAAGUCAGAUGUGAAAGCCCGGGGCUUAACCUCGGAAUUGCAUUUGAAACUGGCAGGCUAGAGUCUUGUAGAGGGGUUAGAAUUUCAGGUGUAGCGGUGAAAUGCGUAGAGAUCUGAAGGAAUACCAGUGGCGAAGGCGGCCCCUGGACAAGACUGACGCUCAGAUGCGAAAGCGUGGGAGCAAACAGGAUUAGAUACCCCUGGUAGACUGUCA